rnacentral:rRNA from 1 species
CCGGCACGGGUGAGUAACACGUAUGCAAUCCACCUGUAACAGGGGAUAACCGGAGAAAUCCGGACUAAUACCCAUAAUAUGGGCGCUCCGCAUGGAGAGCCCAUUAAAGAGAGCAAUUUUGGUUACAGACGAGCAUGCGCUCCAUUAGCCAGUUGGCGGGGUAACGGCCCACCAAAGCGACGAUGGAUAGGGGUUCUGAGAGGAAGGUCCCCCACAUUGGAACUGAGACACGGUCCAA